rnacentral:rRNA from 1 species
ACCAGUCCUUAACUGACGCUAAAGCUCGAAAGUGCGGGUAUCGAACAGGAUUAGAUACCCUGGUAGUCCGCACGGUAAACGAUGGAUGCCCGCUGUUUGCGAUAUAUUGUAAGCGGCCAAGCGAAAGCGUUAAGCAUCCCACCUGGGGAGUACGCCGGCAACGGUGAAACUCAAAGGAAUUGACGGGGGCCCGCACAAGCGGAGGAACAUGUGGUUUAAUUCGAUGAUACGCGAGGAACCUUACCCGGGCUUGAACUGCAGGAGAACGAUACAGAGAUGUUGAGGUCCUUCGGGACUCCUGUGGAGGUGCUGCAUGGUUGUCGUCAGCUCGUGCCGUGAGGUGUCGGCUUAAGUGCCAUAACGAGCGCAACCCCUUUCUUCAGUUGCCAUCAGGCUAAGCUGGGCACUCUGGAGACACUGCCACCGUAAGGUGUGAGGAAGGUGGGGAUGACGUCAAAUCAGCACGGUUGACGGUCGGGGUCACAACACGUGUUACAAGGGGUGAUACAGAGAGUUGGGAGCCGGCAACGUCGCUCUAAUCUUUAAAGUCAUCCUCAGUUCGGAUUGGCGUCUGCAACCGCCCCACGAAGCGGAUUCGCU